UGUUCUAUGGUGUAGUGAUUAGCACACAAGAUUUUGAUUCUUGUAGCAAUGGUUUGAAUCCAUUUAGAACAA
rnacentral:tRNA from 1 species